rnacentral:rRNA from 1 species
GAUGAACGCUGGCGGCGUGCCUAAUACAUGCAAGUCGAGCGAACAGACGAGGAGCUUGCUCCUCUGACGUUAGCGGCGGACGGGUGAGUAACACGUGGAUAACCUACCUAUAAGACCGGGAUAACUUCGGGAAACCGGAGCUAAUACCGGAUAAUAUAUUGAACUGCAUGGUUCAAUAGUGAAAGACGGUUUUGCUGUCACUUAUAGAUGGAUCCGCGCCGCAUUAGCUAGUUGGUAAGGUAACGGCUUACCAAGGCAACGAUGCGUAGCCGACCUGAGAGGGUGAUCGGCCACACUGGAACUGAGACACGGUCCAGACUCCUACGGGAGGCAGCAGUAGGGAAUCUUCCGCAAUGGGCGAAAGCCUGACGGAGCAACGCCGCGUGAGUGAUGAAGGUCUUCGGAUCGUAAAACUCUGUUAUUAGGGAAGAACAAAUGUGUAAGUAACUAUGCACGUCUUGACGGUACCUAAUCAGAAAGCCACGGCUAACUACGUG